AUGCCGAUGAGGAUUUUGCUGCCGGCGCGCCCGAGCCGCGUUCGGUGGUUCCUGGAGAUGCUCUUGUUGGUGGUGGCGGUUGGCUCGCUGCUGCUGGUAGUAGGCGCGCUGGAAUCCUUGGAAAUAAGCUCGAUGUCUCCCCUGGUAUGCAGGAAUCCCCUUCGCUUGCUCUCGCCGACGGCAGUCACCAUGGUGGUGGUCAAGUCGACAGGGACUGGUAUGAAGACGGUUCUUGCGACCGGUUCCAGAGCAAAUCAUCGAUGGUGCUUGAGCUUUGGCGCUCCCGGCGGACAGCCGGCUUGCAGCGCCGCCGCGCCACCGAAUCCUCUGGCCGAAGGGCGGCCAAACCUCUUCCUCCUAGCCUUGAAGCUAUAUGGGAGGCAGUGCUACUCUAGAUCGAUGUUCAUGACUUGCUGCGGUGAAGAACUCGUCGGACCAAGUGGUGAUGUCCCCGGAGCCGGCGAGUUUGGAGUCGAUCGGGAGUGGCUUGGACCUGAUUGCGUUCCUCUUCAGAUCUUUGGGGUCCUUUCUGCAUAUUUCAGGGACUGCUUUGUAAUUUUCAGUUUGUUGUGUGUCCUGUUGUUCUGGCUUGUACUACGGUAUUGUAAUAUCAAAUAA
rnacentral:rRNA from 1 species